rnacentral:rRNA from 1 species
AACGAACGCUGGCGGCAGGCCUAACACAUGCAAGUCGAACGCCGUAGCAAUACGGAGUGGCAGACGGGUGAGUAACGCGUGGGAACAUACCCCUCGGUUCGGAAUAACUCAGGGAAACUUGAGCUAAUACCGGAUACGUCCGAGGUUUCAAUCGACCUUGGAGAAAGAUUUAUCGCCGGAGGAUUGGCCCGCGUCUGAUUAGCUUGUUGGUGAGGUAAUGGCUCACCAAGGCGACGAUCAGUAGCUGGUCUGAGAGGAUGAUCAGCCACAUUGGGACUGAGACACGGCCCAAACUCCUACGGGAGGCAGCAGUGGGGAAUAUUGGACAAUGGGCGAAAGCCUGAUCCAGCCAUGCCGCGUGAGUGAUGAAGGCC